CCAUGACUUACCCUCUUUUAUAAUCAAGUAGAGCUGUUACUGUGUAACUCCCAUCCCUGAAUACUCAAAACAUGAGAGUUAUAGCAUUUAGUGGACGGUUACCUUAUUAACUAACAUUAAGAUCGAGUAAUGGGCCACUUGUGGGCGACUAUUGCACUCCACAUCCACAUGUAGUUAUUGCUCAUGUCGAGUAACUAGGCA
rnacentral:lncRNA from 1 species